rnacentral:piRNA from 1 species
UGGCGACCUUGGAGGUUAUGGGUACCACU